rnacentral:lncRNA from 1 species
UGAGUGCUGUGGUUAUCUAUGCAUGAGUGCUGUGGUUAUCUAUGAAAGAUUUAAACUCAUGACUUAAAGUUGUUGAAACUAAUUUGUGCAUUUCAUAUUAAUUGUUGGAUUUAAUCUCACUUAAUUCAACGUGAUCAACUAUAAAGUAUAAACUAUGAAUAUCAGAUACGAUGGAUGGUUGAUCAAUAAUCACAUAAAUUGUCCUUAAAACCUGAUAUUAGACAGUCUUAAUUUGCUUCUGUCUACUUUGAAAUACUAGUUUUUGUUUUUUGUUAAUUACCGAAUUUUAUGCUAUGAAUUUUUUAGUACAAUAUUCUCUUUAUACUUCUUUUAGUUUCUAAACAAACAUAUAAAACAACUAACACAGAACCCAUAGAGAUUUCUGCCCAAAUAAUCCAAUCAAACAUGGAUGCCCUACCGGAAUAAUUACUGCCACCCACACACACAUGUGCAUGUAUUGUGUGUAUGUGUGUGUGUUUAAGAGAUGGGCUGAAGCACUUGGACUGACCAACUAAAGUACCACAUAAAUGUAUAAAAAUCAAAAAAACAAAAACCAAAAAACACAUUGGCAUCGUGAGUCUAUUUCACUUUAAUUGACCCAUAACAUGAUAAAAACAAUGAUAAAAAGAGUUUGUAGAUCUUCAAAAUAUAUCAUAUAUGCUACCAUAUUCUAGGUUUUCUUCUUUGUUAACAUGCUGGCUUAACAGACACAGGACACUUGAUGCCGGUUGACAUGGAGGAUUUGGGUUUGUUCUUGUUGAUGAAGAUGAAGAAUUAGGUUUCUUUUUGUCUACUACUGAAAGGUAAAAAAAUGGGAUAUGUUUCUGCCAAGAAACAUAGCCCUUAAGUAUCUCUCUUUAAAGAGAAAAAAAAGCUCAGAAGGGAUAGACAAGGAAGGAGAACGUGAGUUGGGUGGGAACGAAGAAAGAUAGUGAAAAGACCUUUAAUCAAUUUACAGUGAUCUAAGGUCCACACGACAACAAAAGGUAAGGAGAUAGAAGAUGUGGUUGGGUCUUACAAGGUCAAGAAUAGGUCUUACAAGGUCAAGAAAAUCAAAUCUACAAGAAGAAAAAAAAGCAACAAGUCAAAAAAGAAACAAGAAUCAAAACGAGAAUUAUAGAGGAAAGGUUGAUUAGGGUGAAAGCUCAGGUAAGGAUAGCACCGAAUUUAGAACAAACAAACAGCCACAAUCACAACGUUUUCGUCCUCCUCUUCGUCUUUCUCCUCUCUCGCAACAACACAAUCAUCAUCAACGACCUCGUUCAUUGUAAUUGAAACUUCACUUUCUUCUUCUUGCAUAUAUCUAUACACACAAAUAUAUGUAAUUCAGAUUAAUGAUUUGUACGAGGAUUAAGAUAGGAUGAUUUCACAAGUGCUGUUCGUCGAAUAUUGGUUUUCUUACCCGAGAACGAUGUUGGAAACGUUUGUUCCUUUUGCGGUCUGAAAAACCUAGAGAGAGAAAGAGGGGAUUUAAUUUGAGAGAGAGAGAGAGAGAGAGAGAGAGAGAGAGAGAGAGAGAGAGAUGUAGACUUUUAGAAAGAGAGGAUUAUAUAAGAAGAGUGGGAGGAUUCAUGUGUGAAUACCCUGAUUAUGUAAAACCUGACAUUGACAGGUCCAAAAGGCCCAGAAGAAGAAUUUGGUAAAUGAUGCUUUUCCCCAAGGGGCCUAAGUCAGCCAUAUUGAGGAAUGGGGUGUGUUAUAAGGUUAAAGGAUGUCCUACAUUUUUUUACGUUUUUUUACGGUGGAUAUAUAAAUUCUUAGUGAUACUUUUACAAAAUUUCCCGUUUUUUUAAAAUGGUGAUAGGUGGUGUUGUUAAAAAUAUAUUAAAGGUUUACCGUAAGAUUAAUAUUGAAAGGUUUUUCUAUAUUUAAGGUACAAGAUUAUAAUUUAU